GUACUUUCAGCAGUGAGGAAGGUGGGUAUGUUAAUAGCAUAUUCAUUUGACGUUAGCUGCAGAAGAAGCACCGGCCUAACUCCGUGCCAGCAGCCGCGGUAAUACGGAGGGUGCGAGCGUUAAUCGGAAUUACUGGGCGUAAAGCGCAUGCAGGUGGUUUGUUAAGUCAGAUGUGAAAGCCCGGGGCUCAACCUCGGAAUUGCAUUUGAAACUGGCAAACUAGAGUACUGUAGAGGGGGUAGAAUUUCAGGUGUAGCGGUGAAAUGCGUAGAGAUCUGAAGGAAUACCGGUGGCGAAGGCGGCCCCCUGGACAGAUACUGACACUCAGAUGCGAAAGCGUGGGGAGCAAACAGGAUUAGAUACCCUGGUAG
rnacentral:rRNA from 1 species